GGAGAUUUAGUUCAGUGGUAGAGCGCUUGCCUAGCAAGCGCAAGGCCCUGGGUUCGGUCCCCAGCUCCG
rnacentral:tRNA from 1 species